rnacentral:rRNA from 1 species
GGCCAGACUCCUACGGGAGGCAGCAGUGGGGAAUAUUGGGCAAUGGGCGCAAGCCUGACCCAGCAAUGCCGCGUGAAGGAAGAAGGCUUUCGGGUUGUAAACUUCUUUGACAGGGGAAGAGCAGAAGACGGUACCCUGAAAACAAGCCACGGCUAACUACGUGCCAGCAGCCGCGGUAAUACGUAGGUGGCAAGCGUUGUCCGGAUUUACUGGGUGUAAAGGGCGUGUAGCCGGGAAGGCAAGUCAGAUGUGAAAUUCCGGGGCUCAACCCCGGACCUGCAUUUGAAACUGUUGGUCUUGAGUAUCGGAGAGGCAGGCGGAAUUCCUAGUGUAGCGGUGAAAUGCGUAGAUAUUAGGAGGAACACCAGUGGCGAAGGCGGCCUGCUGGACGACAACUGACGGUGAGGCGCGAAAGCGUGGGGAGCAAACAGGAUUAGAUACCCGGGUAA